AUAUAACGCAGUCGAGGGCUCGAGGCACAACCCGCCCCCCAAAACCCUUGGCUCCAUCUUUCCCGAUCGUUCUUUCCUUUUGUUUAAUCCCGUGUAAAAGAGAUCAAUUCUACGGUCUUCUUGCUGAUGGUUCAUUAUGAUAUUGCGCAGUAGAUCAAACAGAAGCACUUACAGAUAGGUCCGCUGCGACGUUUUGUAUUCAUAGGAAAAAAAACAUGUCUUGUAACAUUCUUUACGUUUUAAACAGAUCAAUAUCUUAUUCUUCGUACAAUGACCUUUUAAGGUUCAUGAUGUUCUUUUAGUCCUUGACAAUAACACAAUCUGUAAAGUCUCUGACGAAUUUUAUCAACAUUUCUCAGAUUAUGGAAACUCUCUUUUCACAGUGUGUUUUUUGUGUCAAAUUAUUAAUAUAUUCAAGAGUUGGAUAAACA